rnacentral:rRNA from 1 species
GGCCUAACACAUGCAAGUCGAGCGGUAACAUUUCUAGCUUGCUAGAAGAUGACGAGCGGCGGACGGGUGNAGUAAUGCUUGGGAACAUGCCUUGNAGGUGGGGGACAACCGUUGGAAACGACGGCUAAUACCGCAUGAUGUCUACGGACCAAAGGGGGCUUCGGCUCUCGCCUUUAGAUUGGCCCAAGUGGGAUUAGCUAGUUGGUGAGGUAAUGGCUCACCAAGGCGACGAUCCCUAGCUGGUUUGAGAGGAUGAUCAGCCACACUGGAACUGAGACACGGUCCAGACUCCUACGGGAGGCAGCAGUGGGGAAUAUUGCACAAUGGGCGCAAGCCUGAUGCAGCCAUGCCGCGUGUGUGAAGAAGGCCUUCGGGUUGUAAAGCACUUUCAGUCAGGAGGAAAGGUUAGUAGUUAAUACCUGCUAGCUGUGACGUUACUGACAGAAGAAGCACCGGCUAACUCCGUGCCAGCAGCCGCGGUAAUACGGAGGGUGCGAGCGUUAAUCGGAAUUACUGG